rnacentral:rRNA from 1 species
GACGAACGCUGGCGGCGUGCUUAACACAUGCAAGUCGAACGGAAAGGCCCUGCUUUUGUGGGGUGCUCGAGUGGCGAACGGGUGAGUAACACGUGAGUAACCUGCCCUUGACUUUGGGAUAACUUCAGGAAACUGGGGCUAAUACCGGAUAGGAGCUCCUGCUGCAUGGUGGGGGUUGGAAAGUUUCGGCGGUUGGGGAUGGACUCGCGGCUUAUCAGCUUGUUGGUGGGGUAGUGGCUUACCAAGGCUUUGACGGGUAGCCGGCCUGAGAGGGUGACCGGCCACAUUGGGACUGAGAUACGGCCCAGACUCCUACGGGAGGCAGCAGUGGGGAAUAUUGCACAAUGGGCGGAAGCCUGAUGCAGCAACGCCGCGUGCGGGAUGACGGCCUUCGGGUUGUAAACCGCUUCCGCCUGUGACGAAGCGUGAGUGACGGUAAUGGGUAAAGAAGCACCGGCUAACUACGUGCCAGCAGCCGCGGUGAUACGUAGGGUGCGAGCGUUGUCCGGAUUUAUUGGGCGUAAAGGGCUCGUAGGUGGUUGAUCGCGUCGGAAGUGUAAUCUUGGGGCUUAACCCCUGAGCGUGCUUUUCGAUACGGGUUGACUUGAGGAAGGUAGGGGAGAAUGGAAUUUCCUGGUGGAGCGGUGGAAUGCGCAGAUAUCAGGAGGAACACCAGUGGCGAAGGCGGUUCUCUGGGCCUUUCCUGACGCUGAGGAGCGAAAGCGUGGGGAGCGAACAGGCUUAGAUACCCUGGUAGUCCACGCUGUAAACGGUGGGUACUAGGUGUGGGGUCCAUUCCACGGGUUCCGUGCCGUAGCUAACGCUUUAAGUACCCCGCCUGGGGAGUACGGCCGCAAGGCUAAAACUCAAAGGAAUUGACGGGGCCCCGCACAAGCGGCGGAGCAUGCGGAUUAAUUCGAUGCAACGCGUAGAACCUUACCUGGGUUUGACAUGGAUCGGGAGUGCUCAGAGAUGGGUGUGCCUCUUUUGGGGUCGGUUCACAGGUGGUGCAUGCCUGUCGUCAGCUCGUGUCGUGAGAUGUUGGGUUAAGUCCCGCAACGAGCGCAACCCUUGUUCACUGUUGCCAGCACGUUAUGGUGGGGACUCAGUGGAGACCGCCGGGGUCAACUCGGAGGAAGGUGGGGAUGACGUCAAGUCAUCAUGCCCCUUAUGUCCAGGGCUUCACGCAUGCUACAAUGGCUGGUACAGAGAGUGGCGAGCCUGUGAGGGUGAGCGAAUCUCGGAAAGCCGGUCUCAGUUCGGAUUGGGGUCUGCAACUCGACCUCAUGAAGUCGGAGUCGCUAGUAAUCGCAGAUCAGCAACGCUGCGGUGAAUACGUUCCCGGG